GACGAACGCUGGCGGCGUGCUUAACACAUGCAAGUCGAACGAAGUGGCGAACGGGUGAGUAACGCGUAAUCAACCUGCCCUUCAGAGGGGGACAACAGUUGGAAACGACUGCUAAUACCGCAUACUGAAGGAGGGGAUUGCGGCUGAUUAGCUAGUUGGAGGGGUAACGGCCUACCAAGGCGAUGAUCAGUAGGCGGUCUGACAGGAGUGACGGCCCAAUUUGGACUUGGACACGGCCCAGACUCCGACGGGAGGCAGCAGUGGGGAAUCUUCCGGAAUGGACGAAAGUCUGACGGAGCAACGCCGCGUGAGUGAUGACGGCCUUCGGGUUGGAAAGCUCUGUUAAUCGGGACGCGGUACCGGAAUAGAAAGCCACGGCUAACUACGUGCCAGCAGCCGCGGUAAUAC
rnacentral:rRNA from 1 species